rnacentral:rRNA from 1 species
UACGUAGGGUCCGAGCGUUGUCCGGAUUUAUUGGGCGUAAAGAGCUCGUAGGCGGUUUCGUAAGUCGGAUGUGAAAUCUCAGGGCUCAACCCGGAAACUGCACCCGAUACUGCGAUGACUUGAGUCUGGUAGGGGAACACGGAAUUCCUGGUGUAGCGGUGAAAUGCGUAGAUAUCUGGAGGAACACCGGUGGCGAAGGCGGCAUCCUGGACCGACACUGACGCUGAGGAGCGAAAGCCAGGGGAGCAAACGGG